rnacentral:tRNA from 1 species
GCCAACGUAGCUCAGUCGGUAGAGCAGCUGAUUCGUAAUCAGCAGGUCAGCGGUUCGAGUCCGCUCGUUGGCUCCA